GUAUUGUUUAACUUGAAUAACUGUAUUGAAAAACUGAAUCUGAAUACCAAAAUUUGAAUUUGAAUGUAUUAGUUUGAAACUGAAUUCCAAUAAAUUUGAAACUGAAUAUAAUACGAUGAAUCUGAAUUCACUUGCAACUGAAACUUUAUUUGAGCCUCAUUAAAAAUUCAACUUUUUAUGUACUUUCAAUUUCAGUUCUCUCAAUUCAAAUUCAGUUCUCUAAAUUCAAUUUCACAGACGGGUCAAGGUCGUUCAGUAAGAGCAAUGGAGUGCAGAUGCACAGAGCUCCUUUUUGGCUAAGCAGCACGUUUGUUUUUGACCAUUUCCUGGACCUGUAGACAUUGGCUAGCGAAAAACAUGCUUAAAGGAGACAUAUGAUGCCCCUUUUCAGGUUCAUAAUUAUAUUUUGUGGCUCUCCUACAAUAGGUUUAGAUGUUUUAAUAUUCAAAAAACACAUUAUUUUUCUCAUUCUGCCUAUAGCUGAGCAGCUCUUUUCAGCCUCUGUCUGAAUCAAUCGGUUUUAGCUCCUGUCUCUUUAAAGCCCCCCUCCCGAAAAGCCCAGUCUGCUCUGAUUGGUCGGCAUUAUGACGUGGAUGACGCGGAUGACCCCCCGGCCUCUCCCACUUCCGCCUCAGCGUUGCCAGCAGGUAGCUCCUCACUGCUACUGAGUUUAGCUGCAUUUCUACCGUCAAUAUUAAUUCAAUAACUGCUUCUAAACCAAAAACAUCACCACCGGACAUGUUAGAGCGGGAGUCUGACCUGAAAUCACAGAGAAAUGAACAACAACAACAAUCAGGAUUACAGCUUUCUGUGACGUUUUCCUCAGGUACAGCAGUGAGCAGUGACCUACAGUCUACACAGCCCAGUGAAGUUAAACAUAUUAUAUAUUACAUAAUAUUAUUAACAUUAGUCAAUCAGUUGUUUCUAGUGAAUAAACAGCCAGUAAAUGUACCAAAGUAAUCAGAGUACUAGUUUAAUGAUUACUGUAACCUUCCAUCUGUUAUAUUCUUUAUACACAUUAGUUUACUGAGACCAUGGAAACUUACCAUACUGAGGCUACCUGGAAUACUUUAUCUAUACUUUAUGUCAACAUAACUGAAGCAAUUACUCAUCUAAUAAAGUAAAUUGUUUAUGUGGUUUAAAAACUGCUAAGUAACCAACUGUGCUGUUUCAUAGUCUGAUAUUUUAACUUGAAAGUAUUAUUACCAAAGUUAAUCUUCAGAUAUUUAUAAAAGCUGCAAUUAUGUUUUAUGUUUUAUUUUAUAUAUUAUGAUGUCAUUUAUCUUCCAACAUAAUAAAGUUUGAAUGUGAGACAGUAAUGUAUUGUGUUGCUUACAGUCAUUAAUACAGGUUUAAAUUUCACAUUUUCAUAUUGAUAGAUGUUACACGAACCAGGUUUUCAACUCUUCUACAUGCAGGAAAUCUUCAUAACCUCUGUGAAAUAACAUGUUAUUUAUAUAAAACCACACUUAUUACUGAAUUUAAAAAUGACCAAAAGUCUUUAUUUAUAUUUCAUUCAUAUUCCAGUUACACAUGUUGUAAGUAACAAAGCUAUAACUUUUAUGUAAACUGUGCAGAUCAUGUCCUUCAUCAAGGUAUCUUAGGUUUCUAGUAUAUUGAAGUGUGAGCUGGUAAUGGAGCUCUGCAGUCAGUGUUCAUCUUCAUCAGUCUUCCUUUGGAUACCCAGACUGUCCUGAUGCUGCAGCUGUCUCUGUCCUCUGAUGGGUCCAGGAACACCUGAGCUUCAUCAGGUCACCUGUAAGACAAGGCAGAUUCAGUGUUACUUGUAAGGCAGCAUAUAAUAUACAGUAUAAUAUAAUACAGUAUAAUAUAAUACAAGUACAAGUACAACAGCUCAUUGUGGCUCAAACAGUCUAGUGAGCAUCAUAGUUAUACAUAAAUAGUAAACCAAUGAAUCCCUGCAGUUUGACUAUUUGGCUCUCACAGUAGCUCUAUCGUUAACUCCGGUGCACGUUGAUCAAGUUUAUUUACACACUGUAACACACACACACACACACACACACACACCGUCUCUGGAAAACAACAACGAAGCUAGCCCCAGCUGGUUAGCACGUUAGCAAGUUACACACACAGAAAAGAAUCACAAUAACUCACUCCCGGUAUUUUGGUAGCUUCUAAUGAGGGUUAACGAUCACACUGCCCCUCAUAUUACAACAUAAAGUCCAACAGACUCAGUAACUAUAGUAACACAGUGACAUCACAGAGCUGCUGUGUGCUAAUCAAAGCUACAAUCCUACCAAACAAAUUACCACACGGUACACGUAUGGUGUCUUCUUCUGAUCACAGCUUUAAUGAUCCACACAGUACACAGAUACUGAGCUACCCAGCAGAUAUGUAAGUUACCAGGUUAAAGACAAUUAAACCUAACUGACGUUAUCUUCCCUGUUCUACAAAAUACAGACGAACAUAAAGCCAAUCCCUGCACUCGAUUGCUCUUACUGAACGACCUUGACCCGUCUGUGACCUUAAAAGUGAAUUUUGUGGUUUGAAUUUGAAUUGAGAGAACUGAAUUUGAAUUGAGAGAACUGAAUUUGAAUUGAGAGAACUGAAUUUGAAUUGAGAGAACUGAAUUUGAAUUGAGAGAACUGAACAAAUUCAGUUUCUACUGACACAAAAAUCAGCCCAUAUGUAUAUUUCAUGGACUGGUCUUUAGUACUUUAAAUCUGGUCUUUAAUGGUCUUGAAUAUGUAUUUUGAUAAUCUAAAAUGGUCUUUUGUCAAACUAGACUACUUUAAAUCAUUUAAGAUGGUAUCUGAUGAUCACUUGAUGAUGAUCUUUUUUGAUGAUCUAACUCAACUCCUUUAUGAUUUGAUCGUGAUGAUGAUAUUUACACUUACUUUCCCCUCAUUUUAACAGUCCCAUGACAAGAGUCAGUUUUUGUGGGUUUUCUCAGAGACUCUGGACCGGAUUAGAGGUUGUUUCUGUUGUUGGCCUACAGGUACUAAUACAAUUGACUAG
rnacentral:lncRNA from 1 species